CCUACCUUACGAAGAAAUACAAAGUUCGUUUGGGUUCUGGGGGGAGUAUGGUCGCAAGGCUGAAACUUAAAGGAAUUGACGGAAGGGCACCACCAGGAGUGGAGCCUGCGGCUUAAUUUGACUCAACACGGGGAAACUCACCAGGUCCAGACAUGACUAGGAUUGACAGAUUGAUAGCUCUUUCAUGAUUUUAUGGGUGGUGGUGCAUGGCCGUUCUUAGUUGGUGGAGUGAUUUGUCUGGUUAAUUCCGAUAACGAACGAGACCUUAACCUGCUAAAUAGCCAGGCCGGCUUUUGCUGGUCUCCGGCUUCUUAGAGGGACUG
rnacentral:ncRNA from 1 species